rnacentral:tRNA from 1 species
GCCUGGGUGGCUCAGUCGGUAGAGCAUGUGACUUUUGAUCUCAGGGUUUUAAGUUCAAGUCCCACUUUGGGUG